rnacentral:rRNA from 1 species
UACAGAGGUCCCGAGCGUUGUUCGGAUUUACUGGGCGUAAAGGGUGCGUAGGUGGUCGGGUAAGUCUCAUGUGAAAUCCCGCAGCUUAACUGCGGAACGGCAUGGGAUACUAUUCGGCUCGAGGAUUGGAGGGGGGACUGGAAUUCCCGGUGUAGCAGUGAAAUGCGUAGAUAUCGGGAGGAACACCAGUGGCGAAGGCGAGUCCCUGGACAAUUCCUGACGCUGAGGCACGAAAGCCAGGGGAGCAACAGG